rnacentral:rRNA from 1 species
AUUAGCUAGUUGGCGAGGUAAUGGCUCACCAAGGCUACGAUCGGUAGCUGGUCUGAGAGGAUGAUCAGCCACACUGGAACUGAAACACGGUCCAGACUCCUACGGGAGGCAGCUGUGAGGAAUAUUGCGCAAUGGGGAAACCCUGACGCAGCAACGCCGCGUGGGUGAAGAAGGCCUUCGGGUCGUAAACGGCUAACUCCGUGCCAGCAGCCGCGGUAAUACGGAGGGUGCGAGCGUUGUUGGAAUUACUGGGCGGAAAGCGCGUGUAGGCGGCCUUGCAAGUCAGGCGUGAAAGCCCUCGGCUUAACCGGGGAAGUGCGUCUGAAACUGCUUGGCUUGAGUACGGGAGAGGGAGGCGGAAUUCCCAGUGUAGAGGUGAAAUUCGUAGAUAUUGGGAGGAUUACCGGUGGCGAAAGCGGCCUCCUGGACCGAUACUGACGCUGACACGCGAAAGCGUGGGGAGCAAACAGGAUUAGAUACCCUGGUAGUCCACGCGGUAAACGAUGGGCACUAGGUGUGGGGGGUAUCCACUCCUCCCGUGCCGAAGCUAACGCAUUAAGUGC